rnacentral:siRNA from 1 species
UUGAUCAAAUUCAGCGCUUA